rnacentral:rRNA from 1 species
GAGUUUGAUUCUGGCUCAGGACGAACGCUGGCGGCGUGCUUAACACAUGCAAGUCGAACGCUCCUGGAGGUUGGAAGUUAGAGGUUAGAAGUUAGAUUAAGAAGGAAUUCGCCGAAGGCGAAUUCUCACACAAUCUAACAUCUAAUUUCCAACUUCCAACCUCUAAGGGGAGUGGCGGACGGGUGAGUAACGCGUGGGCAAUCUGCCCGUAAGAGGGGGAUAACAUCGGGAAACCGGUGCUAAUACCGCAUAAUAUCUGUUUACCGCAUGGUAGGCAGAUUAAAGGAGCGAUCCGCUUACGGAUGAGCCCGCGUCUGAUUAGCUAGUUGGUGGGGUAACGGCCUACCAAGGCGACGAUCAGUAGCCGGCCUGAGAGGGUGACCGGCCACACUGGAACUGAGACACGGUCCAGACUCCUACGGGAGGCAGCAGUGGGGAAUCUUCCGCAAUGGGCGAAAGCCUGACGGAGCAACGCCGCGUGAGCGAAGAAGGCCUUCGGGUUGUAAAGCUCUGUCAUCAGGGAAGAAGAGAGUGACGGUACCUGAGGAGGAAGCCACGGCUAACUACGUGCCAGCAGCCGCGGUAAUACGUAGGUGGCAAGCGUUGUCCGGAAUUACUGGGCGUAAAGAGCGCGUAGGCGGGCGCUUAAGUCAGGGGUGAAAACUGGCAGCUCAACUGCCAGCCUGCCUUUGAGACUGGGCGUCUUGAGGACAGGAGAGGAGAGCGGAAUUCCUAGUGUAGCGGUGAAAUGCGUAGAUAUUAGGAGGAACACCAGUGGCGAAGGCGGCUCUCUGGCCUGUAACUGACGCUGAGGCGCGAAAGCGUGGGGAGCGAAAGGGAUUAGAUACCCCGGUAGUCCACGCCGUAAACGAUGGGUACUAGGUGUAGGAGGUAUCGACCCCUUCUGUGCCGUAGUUAACACAAUAAGUACCCCGCCUGGGGAGUACGGCCGCAAGGUUGAAACUCAAAGGAAUUGACGGGGGCCCGCACAAGCGGUGGAGCAUGUGGUUUAAUUCGACGCAACGCGAAGAACCUUACCAGGGCUUGACAUCGAGGGAAGGCUUGUGGAAACACGAGUCGUCACAAGCUUGCUUGUGACCCGAAGACAGGUGGUGCAUGGUUGUCGUCAGCUCGUGUCGUGAGAUGUUGGGUUAAGUCCCGCAACGAGCGCAACCCUUAUCUUUAGUUGCCAGCACGUGGAGGUGGGCACUCUAGAGAGACUGCCGGUGACAAACCGGAGGAAGGUGGGGAUGACGUCAAAUCAUCAUGCCCCUUAUGUCCUGGGCUACACACGUGCUACAAUGGCCGGUACAAAGGGAAGCGAUGGGGUGACCCGGAGCAAAUCCCAGCAAAGCCGGUCUCAGUUCGGAUUGUAGUCUGCAACUCGACUACAUGAAGUCGGAAUCGCUAGUAAUCGCAGGUCAGCAUACUGCGGUGAAUACGUUCCCGGGCCUUGUACACACCGCCCGUCACACCACGAAAGCCUGCAACACCCGAAGCCGGUGAGCUAACCCGCAAGGGAGGCAGCCGUCGAAGGUGGGGCCGGUGAUUGGGGUGAAGUCGUAACAAGGUAGCCG